rnacentral:ncRNA from 2 species
UGCCCAUCCCCGGGGAGCCAGACCGGCUGAGAGGGGUGGGAUAGUCUCCACCCGACCCGUUGAACCUGAUCCCGUUAGCGCGGGCGGAGGGAAGGGUGGUCGUAACGCC